AUGAUCAUGCUGAAGGCUCCAUGGAGAGGAAGGACAUUUUUACUAAUAGGUGAUAAAUGCAUUAUGGCAGUCAAGCAACCAUGUCAUACUCACGACUGGGAUGAAAUUACUGGGAGAUGGAAACCGCGCGAAAUCUGGUUGUUUCCCCAGGUGUUUUCUUCACAUGAAGAGAAACAUUGUUUACCUCUAUCAGUCAGGAAGAAAUAG
rnacentral:rRNA from 1 species